UGGUGGAGUGAUUUGUCUGGUUAAUUCCGUUAACGAACGAGACCCCUGCCUGCUAAAUAGCUUGCAGAGUGAUUUUUCACUGUGCAAAGCUUCUUAGAGGGACGUGCAUUCUAUUAGAUGCAGGAAGAUAGGGGCAAUAACA
rnacentral:rRNA from 1 species